GGAUGAAAACAUUAGAUGGUUUCCCUCCUUCCUGUCCGCAGCUCCAUCCAUUGCUGCUGACAGGGUUAUUAUGCUGCUGCCCGGCCAGUGCAUUACCAGAAGUGGUUGCUUUCAGGGAGCCUGCUGGAGGAUAUAAAAACACAGCUACAAGAUAGUAGGGCCACUGUGAACAAUGGAUAAUUGAAUAGGAAACUCUCAGAGCUGGUGUUAUGACUAACCCACAAUGUGUUAAUGACCUCAUCUUUGAAGAAAUAAUAUUCUCCAGUUUUUGCUUCUGUUUCAGAUCUACUACCUUCCCUUUCUGGGAACGGAAGUACUGAGGUAGAGAGGAUGCAGCGAAGCCCUCUCUAUGUAUUGGUGGCCGUGGAUCAUCUUAAGCUGUAAGACCUGAUCUCCAACAAUAUUUAUUGACCUCGUGUUGUUAGGCAGAAGGGGAGCAAAGGCAAAUCAUUUGGAAAGCUCGAACCCCACCUGGAGUGGCAGGGUAUGAAGAGAGGCAUCCAUUGUGAAGGAAGUGCUGAUGAGUGAGUUCAGAGGAAGGAGGAAGUGACCAUUUUCAGAGGACAGGAGGGAGUCAUCACAGAGCAAGGCACCUUGGAGCUCAGUUUCAAAGGAUGUAUGAGACCAUCAGAAUGGUAAAGGUGAUUCCAAUUCUAAGAAAUGGCUUGAACAACGUUAAUGCCCAAAGUGAAUAGAAUCCAGGCAUGGCCAGGAGUGUGGAUUGGACUGUUUCUCAAAGACAGUCAGUCACAGAAACUUCUCUCCUUGACCAGGUAGGAUUUGCACUUGAGAUCUUGAUGUAAGUGACACUAGGUGACUUCCUUCAGGAGCCCCGAGCCUCUGGAUGCCCCUCAAACUUCUGCAUCAGAAAGAAGUCCAAAUGAGGUUCCUCCACAAGGUCAAAAGAAGAGGCCUCAACUCAACAAGAAAAGGAAGCUCUGAUCAAGCCAAGGCUGCUUUGCCAACAACCACAGUCGAAGUGUAGUAUUUGGGACCCAGAGCAUCCAUGAGGACAGUGAAUUCUGAAGCCAUUGAUGGAGACAGAGUCUUGGAUCUAAUGACCAAUGCUGCUUCUAACAGUGAACCAGGAUCCAUCCUGUACUAAGUGAAACUGCAAUUAGACGUCUCAAUAUCAUCAUUUUACCCAAGUAAUAUAAACUCCUUGUAUUGAAAUACCUUUGUAUGUAGAUAGAGUAGAGGCCUUGCUCUUGUCUGGUUGAUGAUCCAAUAAAGAGCCCACUCAAAGUUUCUCUGA